GACGAACGCUGGCGGCGUGCUUAACACAUGCAAGUCGAACGGAAAGGCCCUGCUUUUGUGGGGUUCUCGAGUGGCGAGCGGGUGAGUAACACGUGAGUAACCUGCCCUUGACUUUGGGAUAACUUCAGGAAACUGGGGCUAAUACCGGCUAGGAGCUCCUGCUGCAUGGUGGGGGUUGGAAAGUUUCGGCGGUGGUGGAUGGACUCGCGGCUUAUCAGCUUGUGGGUGGGGUAGUGGCUUACCAAGGCUUUGACGGGUAGCCGGCCUGAGAGGGUGACCAGCGACAAUGGGACUGAGAGACGGCGCAGACUCGUACAGGAGGCAGCAGUCGGGAAUAUUGUACAAUGGGCGGAAGCCUGAUGCAGAAGCGCUGCGUGUGUGAUGACGGCCUUCGGGUGGUAAACCGCAUUCGCCUGUGACGAAGCGGGAGUGACGGUAAUGGGUAAAGAAGCACCGGCUAACUACGUG
rnacentral:rRNA from 1 species